UGCCUUUUGGAAAAGGCGGUGCAAGUUGGGACGGGGGUGGGACUCCACAAAAUACACUCCCCUAGAAGCAAAGGCAGAGGGUGGGAAGUUGCAAAGUCUGGAAUCAAGUACUUGUUCAUGUUUAUAAACUCCUUGGAAGAGGGUUCCAAGAUUCAAAUGAAGGACACCCAAGAUCAAGUUCCAAGCAGGCACUAAACCAGCUGCUUCCUGAAGUGCAGAAAGGGAGGGACAGAUGUAGUCCCUGCAAGGCAGCAGUGAGACGCCACAGUAAACCCGUUCCAGCAAUCUAAGGAUUCUGACUCCAGAUGGGUUCUGAAUGUUUUCCUUGUCCGCAUAACCUGUACACUGAAUAGAUACAACAGAAGAGGGCUGGCUUCAUCAAAGGUGAGCUUGCUGCCCUGAAGGCAGAGAGCUGCCCUGCGAGACACCAGAACUGCCAGCGCUGCGACCCAGGCUUGGCCACCUGUGGAACUCUAAAAAUUAAACUUCUGUUCCGUGCCAAUGACCCAGCUUGAAGUGUUCUGUUACAGCAGCGUGAGUGCGCUGAGACACCUGCACAUGCAUCUUCUGAUUUAAAUUGUGACUUGAGGGCAGCAAGGAGGUACAGGAGAAGGAACACAGGAGUGAAGGUCAGAGGCCUGGGCACUGACCCCACCACAUUUGCCAACAGGAGGAUGAGCUUGGAGCCAUCAUGCACUGUCCCAGGCAGGGAUGUGACUCACUUCAAAAUCCCUUCCAGUCAAUGUAACAUUUCCUGCAGCUUGGUCUUAACUUGUCCUUUCAGAGCUCUACCUGGAAGUUUAUGAAAACAGGGAAAGUCAAAAGGCUAAGUUUACUCCUUCAAGUAGUCUGAGGUGGAUCCCUUUGUAACAGUGAUCAUGCUAAAAGUACUUUACACAGCUUAGUUUGCAUAUACAAAUUUCAAAGUAUAUAUGCUCUUGAAGAGAUAAAAGUCUGAGAGCAUCCAGAUUAAAAAAAAACAAACAGCUUUGGAUAUUACAUGAAGACUUUGAGUGGUUACCACCAUUUGACCACUGUUCCUAACCAUCCUACUAGUUCAGGCCAGUGGUGAAUGCAGUCGUUUCUGGUCUGUCUUUAUGGUAUCCAAUGUCUCACCCAGAAUACGGCAUUUUUAUUGAGCAAUAUAUUUUAACAAGAACUUGUAAAUACAGUCAACAGCUCUUUACAUUUAGUUUUAACUUUAUCUAAUAAAUUUGGCAAUUUGUACGUCAUAAUCCAACCCUAACUUUCUGCAGGAAAUGGAAAAGGCUUAACAUUUAUUCAUCUGGGCGAAAAUGCACUGUGCUCCAAAACACAAUUAAACUGGAAAUAGAUGACAUUAGUCCUCUCAGGGGCAUUUCACAUAAGCUAAAUAUACUCACGCAACUGAGCUAACCACUGCAAACACGGCCACCAUCAAGACCUGAGCCGCGGCAAGAGCAGCCCCUCUCCCACCGCCACGAAAGGCCACACGUCCCCCCACGGAGGAGGCCACGUCUGAACCCCAGGCAACCAGCACCACUCCAGCCACACACACGUCCAUGAGAAAGGUCCUGAAGCUUUGCAUCAUCUUGCUUUCUGCUUUUGCACUGAGUCUUUUAAAGAGCAUUGGUCUCAUUCUAUGCACUUUAGUAAACCCGGGCAUUAAAUCUGGAUGGAGCCGAUGUGUUAGGGUUCUAGCUUCCUCUGGCACCCUGUAACGGGGCUGGACACUGUUGGUGUGCACAAGGCUCUGGCUUCAGCUCCCAGCACCAGAGCAAAGCAGAGCAAAGCAGAGCAAAGCAAACCGUUGCUACUGCCGCCACUACUCACGCACAACCUCGCUUGGGCUGAGCCCUCCCCUGAGGUUCCUCCAGACGCUGUGUCAUUCUUAUGUCACGAUUUGGAUGCUUCAGUUGUGAAGGGCAGAUAUUGUUCCUAUUUAAAUCUCAGAGUUGUUCUUAAAUUCAGAAAGCAUAUCUGACAAGAAGAAGAAGAGGAAGAGGAAGGAGAAGGAGGAGGAGGAGGAAGAGGAGGAGGGAGAGGAGAAGAAAUAGAAACCAACCUGAUUCCAGACAUGACAAGUUGGCUUCAUUGCAGAUUAAACAGAUGUCUUAUUUAGCCAACUAGUCAGUCAAGACCAGUAAAGAGCCAACAAGGCAGCCAAGAAUGACUCUCCCUGCUGUCCAGGCUGUCUCCAGUGCCCUUGGGAGAGUGACCAGCUGGCUCACCUGCAGAAAAGGUGGUCACCCAAGUGCCAUAUGACAAAGGUGUUUACUCAGCUGUGUUGGCCACAAGUCGGGGGCUAGGACCUUUGAGGUGCCCGUUCCUAUUGGAGGGAGACUGUAUAGUGAUUAUGGCAGAGAAGUAAGCAAAGUCAUCACAACAGGAUCCAUUGAAGGACGGGCUCAUGUAAACAUAAAUAACCAACCCCAGCAAUAGCCUUCCUAUCUCCCGGGUUUGCUCUUCAGCAUCAGACAAUUACCACCAUUGUCCCUUGAUGUUCUGUGGCUUGGACUACCUGUCCCCUCUCCAGGAAGUAAGCCCUCCAAGGCAUGGAAGCUUUUGGUUCACUGAAGUAAAGCAGCUGCAGAACUGAGCUAGAUGCCUAGCAGUGUUCUUCAUCAGCUGGUUGAAGAUAUUUACCUUCACCUGAGCGAGUCACCUUUCACAGCAAACAGAGCUUCAUGGUGCUUGAAUUUCAUUUGGAAUUGAGACUAUAAAGUCGACAUUUGAAGCCAGGCAAAUAUCUUACGUAACGUGGUGCGAAAGGGAGAGGACUUGAGUCUCACUUCAUCACUCAUUCCAAAUAGCGCGAAGAGCUGGUAUGAAGAACCGGUUCUCACCCACUCCCGGUGCCGUGCGUAGAUUCAAGUCCUGGCUCUGCACUUGGUAACCAUAUGAGGCGACGAGGACAGACAGAUGUCCCCUAAACCCGAGCCUCCCCCCAUCUGCUGCACAAAGAACUCCACCAAUGAGCCGUGAGGCAUUAUCUGGAGGCCAACCCCUUGCUGUGGGAUGGAAAUUUUUCACCAUGGCAAAUCUCAAACAAUUAAUUACCUGCUCUUAUCUGCAAAGAGCUCAUAGACCAGUAUGGAAAACAGAAAGCGAACAAGGACUGUCCGGGUUGAGAAAGACAGGGAAGGAAUGGCCCAUGUACCAGGGAACACAGCGGAGGCACAGCCUGGUGUUCCCCGUUAGAUAAUAGAGAAUAACAAUAAGAUGCAACAUAGCGUAGCAACGUCCGUAUUCACUGAUAGCAGACCUUGGCGCAGGGAAGACUCCAUGAUUCCACGCUCCACCUAACAAUGCUUCCAACUCAGAAGAGAGAAGAGAGAACAUUCACUGAAGGCUCACUGUGGGGGAGACCUGAUUCUAAGGGCUUUGCUUUAAUUCAGUUGGCCCCUACAACAUAUCUAUCUACAUUUUGUAUGCUCCAUCUUACCGACAGAGAAGGUCCGUUCGCUUUCCCAAGCUCCUAUAGUCAGAGGCGGCUGAACCGGUGCGGGAAACCAGGGACCCUGGCUCACGCUUACCCUGCAGGCCGCAUCCAGCCCCGCAUAACUCCUGCACACUUGACCAGAGGCGGGUGUCACAGGCCGGCCCGUGUUGCAGGUGGCACCUUUGGAUGCUCCCUGGUUAAAUGCACGACACGGGAGUGCCGGGGCAAACACAGCGGCAGAGAAGCGGGAGGACAGAUGCUGUGACGUCACAGAGCAGCCACCCCAGGCCUGGUGCGAGCUCGCUUAAGGAGGGGACAUCCACCGCAGCAGCGCAUGCUGGCUUCUCUACCGCCCCAGAGGCACACCCCUGCCCCCUGUGCCCAGGAGGCUGGCCUGUAUGGCCGGUACUACCUGGCACCCCCUGCCAGUGGAGCAGUGCCAUGGGGGCAUCAAAGGGUGGAAGAGAGACUCUGAGGGGCUUCUUUAUUCCAUCCCCCCUUGCCCCACGCUUCUGAGAGUGGCUGCAUCCGUCUCCAUCCACCUUUAAGAAAGAAAAUUGAUAUUUGCACACAAAGGAGUACCGCUGUGCCAUAAAGAAGGAUAAACUUCAGUCAUCUAAAGGAAAAUGGACAGUGCACUGUGAGACCAUAAUGAGAAAGAAAUCAGGUAAAACAGCUUAAAUAUCACACGGUUUCUCUCACACGGCAAAUCCAAAGUAUAAGCAAAGAGUGAAAUAAAAGAUGGUAAUAGGGAACAGGGAGAGAGAUCUUUGCAAAUGGGAAGGGGACCAAGAGACAGAAGGCAGGGAGCGAGAGAGAAGGGGACGAACAAAGCAGGGAGAUGUGUUAUGUAUACACACCAAGGCCCCACAAUGAAUGUGGUCAUUAUGUGUUGCAAACGCAGAGUCAUUAAAAAGCAAAGGAAGAGUGGCUCCCACCAAGGUCCUUUCCACAUUUCCACCGGCCUGUGCUGCGACUCUCCCUUCUGACCCAGGAGAAACGACGGCUUCCCACCAUGGUCCUCUGCUCCAGUCUGCACCCCUCCAGAGACGCCCCCCACUGGUCAUCUUUCAAAUCCUAACCUUGUAGCCUUUUCCUUCGGUCCAGGCUGAUGUGCAGCAGACCACGAAAUGGGGAACAACUAGCCCCGAAGUCAGCAAGCGGAGCACCUGAGAUCAGGGCAAUGCUGCAGCCUGGCUGCAGAAUGCUUGCCUGGCACAUUCAAGUCCUCGGUUCCAUCCCCAGCCCUGGGGGAGGCGCGAAGAGCCUCAGUGACACAUGCGCGAAGAGCCUCAGUGACACAUGCGCGAAGAGCCUCAGUGACACAUGCGCGAAGAGCCUCAGUGACACAUGCAAUGGCUAGGCCUUUCCUCCCCCUGGUACUCUUCCCCCAGGUGCAUUUCAUCCAUGCUCACUUUGAGGCCCUGCUCUGUGCCUGCGCCAGGCUAGGCUUUAGGAAUGGCGAGGAACAACAUUCCACAGCCCGGUAGGCAGAGUAGCGGGUUAGGGAAGUUAGCAGGCGAGGCAGGGGCUACUGCGGAAUAGAUCAGCACAUUUAGAACUCACCAAGUAAGCUUACAAAUUGCAAACUACGUCAGAAGGGGAAAGGAAAGAUUGGGAGGAGCUGAGAGAAUAACAAGAGAUCCCAUUUAGAAGUUCAUCUUUAUUUCAUGACUGGAAUCGCUAUUGGCCCAACUAUUCACCUCACAGAUGGAGAGACCGAUCCAGAGGAAAUUAAACUGCCGUGAACAUGGAGAAAAGGGGACGAUAAGCAGGGCCAGGUGAAAGCGUCUGGCUGACGCUGACCCCGUGCCUCCUCCGACCUCCCCUCUUCUGCUCCUGCGGAUGGGCCAGGCCUGGCUUUGCCACAGACCCGUGCGGAGGCUGAGUCUGACAGUAGCCAGGCUCAGUAUGGGCCCUGAAUGCCAGUUCUGCUCUCAAAGCUUCCUCAGUCUCCAAAGAACCUGUCUCCUGCCGGGCAAAGAUUUUCAUGUUGGAAGACCUGGGAACCGAGGUUAGGUGGGGCACUGCUCGCCACCUUCCGUCAGUUUGGAAACGUGUCCCUUGCACUCCCCUUCUUCCACACUUGGAGACCCCUGCACAACCCCACCCAGCUCACCGCUGCUCUCUCAAGCACCAAGGUCAAAGUUAACAGGGCAGCGGAAUUUAGGAGCAAGAAGGGGAGGAGAGUCUAUCUUUCGCCUUCUUGUUCCCUGACUUCAAUAAAGCAAAGAUUUGCCUUCA